CACAUGCUUAAAUAUGUUGCCAUCUGUGUUACUAUGUUUGUUACUUUGUCUGAGUACAGUUCAGAAACAUAAUUUAUCACUUCAGAAGCACACUCUCAAGACAUUGGGAAAUUGUGGACCAAACUCUACAGUCAGUACAGCUGAACAUCAUGGAUCAACUGACGGAUAUCUAUGUUAAUGAGGAGGAACCAAUUGGUUAUCCUGGCAAAAGGAACAGUUUGGUAAAAAGUUCAGAAAGUAUUUAUGAAAAUGUGUUGAUCCACAGUCUGAAGCCAAAAGAAACUGCUGCACUCUCAGGUGCUGAAGUGGUAAAUAAGAGUUCCCGCGGAGCUGCUGCAGUGGGUCUGUUGUGUCUUCUCCUACUGACUGGACUCAUAACUGUGGUUUGCCUAUUUACCAAAGGCAGAUCUGAGUGGAAAAUGGAGAUGGUCCUGUUACAGACCAAUUACAACAACCUGACUCAGGAACUCAACCAGCUCCAUGAAGUUGUUGAAAACAUGACCAAAAAGAUAAAUCAACUUCAAAUAAAGCUUCAAGGUAAUUCUAAUGGAUCCCUUCAGAGCCAAAUGGACAUCGGUUAUAUUAUUGUAUCUUUCUAUUUAGUUAUUAAGUUAGUAAUAGACAUGCUAGUUUAAAGAAGGACAGCACUUCAGGUAAAUCAGAAGGGGGUUGAAAGAUCAUACAAGCAGGAUUUCAAAAUAUGGUGUACACCUAUCCAUUUAAAGCCUAUUUUCUUUUUUAAAUUAUUUGGUGGUGUUUGUUGAUUGUCGUUUUGUUCUAGACUAAGAGUCUUCAACAUUUUUCAAGCCGAGGAUCCUUGGCUCGCGAUCCCUUAACUGAAAGCAAGAUGGAGCAGGGACCCCCUACCACAUAUAUUGUCUAAAAUUAAGACAUAUUAACCUGGGCCUACAAUAACAUGUAGCCACCCUACACCUAAAGAUACAUAUACAUAUAUAUACAUACUUUUUCUUUGCAUAGAAUUAGUGCUGUCAGUUAAACGCGUUAUCAAUGCUGUUAACGCCAUCAAUAAAUCAGUCCAACUGGACCAAUUUGGGGAUUUUUAAGUUCCUCUGACCGCAGUUCCUGUAACUCUUUCAGCUCCUACUUCAGGGCAGGGUCUUUUCGCUGUUCCUUUUUUAAGCAUAGGAACCUAGGUGAACGAGAGUCGGGUUUCCGGUACAGACAGACCAACAAUGGGACAGUUUUAUAGGAGAAUUCUGGUCAAUUUCCAGACGUAGCUGUGUUGUUUCAAAAUUUGAAGUGCUGUCAGUAGCAAUACAAUCAAUAACAAUUGGUGCUGCCAACACCGUGUUCUCCUCCUGCCAGAGUUUCCCAACAGGCUUAAACAAGGCAGGUUUAACACAUGUUUUUAGCCUCCAAACAUGUUCAAAAAGUCAUUACAAGUCCCCAGCCAUGUGCAGUGAUUCCUUCCAAGGGAACAUAGCAAAUCUGACUGCAGAUAUGACAAAAGGCAUAAAUAUUGUGUUAAUCCAUACCACAGUGGAGCUGGGAGAGCAGAGCAGCGGCUGCAGCAAUUUAAAAGAGCCCACUGUUGCUUAGUUACCUAUGCGCAUGCGCGAAAGCUCUUGAACUCUUGAACUCUUGAACUGCAGCUCAGUACAGUAGUGAAAUGACAUUCCACAUGAGAAGAGCCCAUAAAGAUUAGAAGAGAUAUUCCUGCAACACGUGUGGGAAAAAAUUUAAAUAAUAACAAUAAUAACAAUACUUUUUAUUUGCAAUGCACUUUACAUUUAAGAAAAAACCUCAAAGUGCUACAGGUAAGAUCAUAAAAUCAGAAAUCAGUAUUUAAAGCUCACACAACAAUCCACGCAGGUGAGAAGCCAUUUACCUGUAAAACUUGGAGAAGCACACUCUGGUGAUAAUGCCGUACCUUUACAAGACCUGCGGGGAAAGAUGCAUUGAUGCGUCUCCUUUGGCAAAGCAUAUAAGCUUGCAUCCAAAACUUGAAAGAACACCAGAAGAUCAGUUUACACAGAAGAAAACCUCGCCCUGAAGCUCCUUUUUUCUCUUCAUAUAACUGCAGUACACAUAUUUCUGUUGGCAACAGUAUUUAUUUGAAACAAUCAUAAUCUCCCAAAUUCC